GGAGAGGUGCCAGAGUGGCCGAAUGGAGCUCACUGCUAAUGAGUUGUCUCUCGUAAGAGGGACCCUGGGUUCGAAUCCCAGCCUCUCCG
rnacentral:tRNA from 1 species